UAUUAAAAAUUUUAUCAAUUUUUAUUAUUAAAAAUUGGUGUAGCUAACAAAACAAACAGUUACAUGUGGUAUGCCAUGUGUAUCUCAUUUUGACGUACACAGAUAAAUUUUUAACAGUGAAAAUGAAUGAAUUUUUUAACA
rnacentral:pre_miRNA from 1 species